rnacentral:tRNA from 1 species
AGUCCCGAAGUGACCCACGUCAAAAUGCAAGUUUGAAAAAGAGCUCAAAAGAGCUCCGGGGCUU